rnacentral:lncRNA from 1 species
UCUGGGCGAUCCAAGCCAAGUUCUGGGCGCCCGAAACUGGCAAAAUUUCAGUUUUACUUAUUUGAGUAAACCAAGUCUGUUUCUGCAUCCAUUUGUAAAAAAACGAUUCCGAUUCAGUCCGACACUCUCCAGAUGUGUCGAGCAAUCGCUAAAACUAUAGCCAAUCCGAUACCAAACUCCCGGGACACUACAACCCACUUUCACCCCUA